AAAGGAUUGAGAGAAGUUGAACAUGAACAAAAUGAAGAUUGUUUAAAUGUUCACAUUUUGACACCUGAAAAACCUUGUCACAACAUUCCAUUCUUUCUAGAUGUGAUUAUCUAUGCAAUGCUACUGUGACAUAGUGGUGACUAUAAGAUACUGAGAAUGUAGAUAGUUGAAUGUGUUUCUUCUUCCAUUCCCAUUUGUGGGAGAGAAGGUUGGCCUUACAUCUCUUCUUGCUCUAUUGUCAGAAUGCUGCCUGGUUUCAUUUAUUCACAGUUCUGGAAGGGGCCCUCCAGAGGUCACCAUUCCAUGUAUCUGCCACCUGUCAGGGAUGCUUCUAAGCUGUGCAGACAGAUGGGUACCCUACUAAUGUUUUGCUCCACCAUGUAAGUUUCAUUUUUUUUCUUUCUCUGUCUUUCAUUAUUCCUUUUUCUGUGCCUUUGGGCUAUAAUUACCCAGAAGAAUAAAUAAAUAAAUAUAUAUACA
rnacentral:lncRNA from 1 species